GGGUGGGGAGGCAGUCAGAGGGGUGGAGGGCCUCUCUAUGAGCCUCCUGCCAGGGGCCUGGACCCCAGGAGCUGUACCUACCAGGUGGAAGGCGCCCCUCCCCACUGGACGAGGCCCCCCACGAUGGGUAAGCGUGUGGGGCCCAGCCUGGCCUCCUGCCCCCAGCCCGGAUUCUGGCCACAGUCGAGGUGGCCUCCCCACGCCGCUCCCACGCCCCCAAUCGUGGAGCAGAGACUGCGCGGGUGAAGGGGCACAGCAUCAGGGCUUGCCUGGAGCCAUGCUAUCCCGCCCUCCUACUCUGGUCCUCGUACGCACCCUGCUCUGUGCUGACGUGAAACCCCACACUGCUGACCCCGGCCUCAAGCCGCGCUGUGGGCCAAGGGCCGGGGGCUGUGCCCACCCUCCCCGCGGCCCCUCCCACCUGGCCCUCGACCCAAAGCCAGGGGUGCAGGUGUGCAGAGACUCAGCCCACUUCCUGGGAAAAGGGGAUCCGUGCCCCUACUUCCUGUGCCUGACGUGGGAGGGAGGGGAAGGGGUACCACCAUCUGGGUCCUGGUCCCCUGGCCGGGGCCGCGCGCUCAGGGCCGCUCCUCACUCUAGGACCCACUGGUGGGGCAGAGUUCAGACACGGGCCGGACCGCCCUCUUGCCUCUGGAUCUGAGCCACGUGCCACAGCCCCGCUGCCUCUGAGCCUGCCCUGGCUAGUGAUGCUGGCCUCCACCUGGGGAGGGAAACCGCGCCAGCCCUCUGUGUGGCGAAGGAGCCGGCGCGCUGUGCCCAGGGCACGGGGGCCGGGGGGGGCACCCACCUGUCUGUCGGGGCCGCAGGGGCCUUGGAAUUCUGGCCCCUCUGCCGCUCUGGCUUCGGGGAGCUGAGUCUCCCACCUGACUUCCGGUCCCGAGAACCUGGGUGACAGAGGACAGAAAGACGUAAGGAGCAGAGCCAGUGAGAAAAGGAAAAGGGGAGGAUGGAUUACACUGGAAAAUGAAGCCCCAGAAAAACACGGAAGCCGAGGUCUAAUUUCGGUUCUGGUUUCCCGAGCCAGCAUCAAAACAGGCCACCGAGCUCUGGGCGUCCAACUCCAAGCAGACAAAAACCUCCUUCCGUGCCUUGAAGAAACUCACGACUUUCCUGCCCGUGAGAAACGCCCAUCAGAGCCUCUGUUCCGCUGAGGCGGCCGCCCGCGUGCCGUCUGGGGGAGGCGUCAUCACUGGCAGCGUGGGGCCGCUGCACGCCCCCUCCCCUGCACACAGGCUCUACCUUUCUCCUUCUUGGUCUGGGCUGGGGUGGGGGACCGCGAGCUAGCCGAGGACACGGGGCUUGCCAGGUCCGCAUACAUGUCGUCCGAGUCCACGCUGUGCGCUGAGCUGCUGCUCGACGUGGCGCUGGACACGGAGGAGACGCUGCUCACGCUCAGGGACCUGCACGCACAAGCACGUCUGCACCGCGGCCCCAGCCCGAGACCCGAUUCCUGUUCCCAGGGAAGGGGAACCCACCCAGCCCGAGAUGUGGGGGGCUCUGGGCACUCUAUAGGUGCCGCCCAGGGAGGGGACGCCCACGUGGCUGUGGCCAGGCCCUCGUGCUCACAGGCGACUGUGCUGUUAGCUGGGCAGGGACACACGGCUGACUGUGACCAAGAGCUGGACACCCACCCUGGCGGCGGGGCACAACAGAGGGCGGACAUGGGCCACAGCGCGAGCAGACGCUGUGCCACACAACCCAACGGGCCGCUCAGGAGGCGCCGAACGUGGCCGAUCCCCUGGGCCCUCACAGCCCAGGCUCCACAGGGACUCCCGCCCUCUGAGAAAACCGGCGGCACUGCGUCCUAAGGUGUGUGGAGGCUGCAACAGGGAAGGGAAGAGCCCAGCCUUUUGGAAAGGUUUGCUCUUUAACACACCCCAGACCUACGCUGCCAGCUCUGGGCAAACGUAUAUACACCACCUGCUGCCUGCAAAUGAAGGAGGAAAGCGGCUUCAAGGACCCUAAGGACUGACCCGAUGCCGCCUGCUCUCUGAACAACUAGACGGCAGCAUUCUCUUCUGCUCGCUCUUUCCUCAGAUCUUUUCGAUCGGCCGCCCCCAGCUGCCUCAGCCCGUUACCCCCUCCUCGCCGGAGCGGCUCGGGAACAGCUCCUCGGACCCACGGUGCCGCCACCCGAGGGAGGAGGGUGCUCACACCUAACGUGGCCUCUCCCGGGGUUCCCUGGACCCUGACUGGGGGGACAGAGGCAGAUGCCGAUGGGACUGGGGCCAGAGAGACGUGAUAAUGACCUGGAUCUGGAACUAGAACCGCUGUAGCUGCUGCCGCUGCCGCUGCCGCUGACAGUCCGCCUACAACACAACCAAGAGCCCGGCUGCUCACGUUUCUGUGGCCUUGACACGCGGGUGCUCCUCCAAGCCGGGGCUCGCUGGCCUGAGACCAACGCGCCCCCAGUGACUCGCCACCGACCGGGCAGUGGGCGGGGCUCUGAUUCCCUCAAAGUGAGCCAACCACAGCCCUGGCCAGCUCCGCUCACGCUGUGCAUCCCGCACGGGGGAGCUUGGCACCGAGGGAGCACCCGGGCCCCUCGCAGCCAUCGAGCUGCUGGGGACACCGAGGCUCGGCGACGUGCCGCGGUCCUUGGCCUCCGCUGCCUGCGAGCACCCCUCCGCCAGCCCUGGAAGGCCGGGGCACUCACCUCCUGGGCGGGCUCCUGGCCUGCCGCUCCCUCCUCCUGGCUUCCCGAAGGUCUCCGGGCUUGGUGGGCUCGGGGGCAGGAGCGGUGGCUUUGGGGGCCUGCGGUGGGGCUGGAGGUGGGGCUGGCUUCUUCAGCAGCUUCUCUCUGUGACGUGGGACAGAGGGAGGGUCAGACCCGGCUGGGCAGGCGGAGGCGGCCCUGCCGGCCGACCUCGGGGCGCGUGCAGUGCAUGCGCACACUCCCCUGUGAGGAGCUGUUUCCCGCGGACCCCCACCCCACACUGAGCAUCCCAUGGCCUCCCCCUCCAAGAAAGGACAGGGAGGAAGACGGGGCCGGCUGAAGAGUCCCGGAGCGGUGCCGAGAGCUGGGCUGUGCUCCCUCAGUAAUUGGGGACCCCAGGGGAGUCGGGAAAAUGGCCCCCAAGCUGUUCUUCACCGUUGCGUGGGGAAGAUACCCUGCCAGUUUGUUAAGCGCCCUGAACACGCACAGUGCAGAUGGGCCACAGAGCAGACCCUGCCAGCAACGCUGACGCCAGCAGGAAGCAGAGUCUGCGUUAGAGGAAGCUGCUCAGCACAGCAGCAGGGCUGAAUCCAAGCCCGUGCCGACCAGGAGGCAGACCCGCACUUACCCCGCCCGACGCCAUCUGCGUGAAGCCUGGGGACCCGAAGCGCCUGCACUGUGCUCGGGGUCCCCCCACAACAGUACAGUUCAGGUGGGUGCGGUGCCUGGGGCCUAAGUCAUAUGCCAACACCGUUCCCUUUCUAACAGUGAGCCGCCCAGGACUCCCUAAGCCUGAGGCCCAGGAGCCGACCCCGUUCAGGAGGAAAACCUGCCAUGGGGGCUGGGGCCAGACGCGCGUGGGGACGGCCAGCAUCAGGACGGGCCUCGCGCCUGGCAGAGCCGCAGGAGCGGAGCGUGCUCUCACCCGGCGGACCGUGCACCCCAACCCUGCACGCCAGGUAUCGUGAGGUUUGUGUGCUAAGUCCUAGGUGCUUCUACCCCUCCCGUCGCCACAUCUGUUGAGAGGGAUCGAUGUGACCAGUCCCAGGAGCAGCAGAGAAGGUGAGGACGGCAGGGCUGAGGCUGCCACGGACACAGCCAGGGCCGAGCACAGCAGGUCCCCAGGGCGAGGGGCCCUCACGUGCCGCACUGGCUCCCGACAAGUGAGGCUCCAGCACCAGAGUGAGCACGCUGGAGCACGGAUGCCCUGGCCCACAGCCAGGAAGCGCGAGGCCAGGCCUACGCCCCGCGCCCCUGCCCACUUCCCGGGGCGCCGCAGCACUCACCCUGCUUUUGCGGGAGGCGGAGCCGGCUCCCCCUUGGUUCUGACAGGUCUGUGCGGCGAGGGCGUCGGGGACGGGGACGGGGACGAGGAGAAGGACCGGGACCUAUAGGGAGUGAACCGAGGUGAGAGGAGGCGCUCCGCCCGGCCGCACCCCCGCAGGGGCUACCGCUCAGCCUCGGACAGGUCUCGGUCAUCUCCUCAGAUGCACGUCACGGGGAAAAGAGGUGCCAAGGGGCAGGCAGCACCCCAUCAGCCAUCACCUGGGAGCCGGCGGGGAGGCCCUGGGACAGUCGGCGGGGCUCGCAAACACAACCUGAGGGGAAGGUUAAGUAGCGAAGAAAGCGCCCCCGACUUUGUGAGAACGGCUCAGCCGUAUACAGACCACACACAGGGCCUUCUUCCGUCUGUCUCCGUGUCACCCAGUGCUCACAGAGGGGAGACUCAGGUAAGCCCCCCACACCCUGGAUUUCCAGAACCCCCCAAUUUAUCAGCUGGGUUCCAGGCUUCUUCCCCACAGCUCAACAGCCUUAUUUUUCACGUGAAACCACAGAAGGCUUCUCCUGCCACUGAUGAUCGGUAUCUUCGCUGUCUCCCUCUCAGCCUCCUACAGGCAGCCUUCCCCCGGACACCCAGGCACUGCUUACACUCCUGGCAGGACGGCCGUGAGGCCCAGUGCCCACAGCUGGCCCUCUGGAUACCCUUAACAAAAGGCUGGCUUUCCUUUCUCACGGCUGUCACUCAGCACAAGAUGACAUUCAGCAAAGGCAGGCCCAGCUGUCAUCUAAGUCCACGAACACAAGAACGUGGCCUUCAGACGCGACAGCUUCAAUGAUCUCCCUGUGCUGUUCCCACCCGCUCUGUGCUGUCCUAGGGCGAGACAGCCUGCCAGGAAGGGGCGCCGCUGGGGGGCCACAGACCCCGCAGGAGGACCCAUCAGUUUGCCCAAGAACACCUUGUGACGUGCUCCCCAGGGAAGCGGGGGCACGUGUGUCUGUGUGGGUCUGUGCGUGGUGCGCAUGUGAGCGCGUAGGGGUGGGUCCACGCCCUGCUGCGGCCCCUGGGAGAGCUGCGCCUGUCUGCGACCGCGGAGACAGAGCCACACAGGCGGCCCCCUCCACUCGCAGCCUCCCUCUGGUCCCAGACCUGUCCUGGGUGCGGCCCCACCUGCGCGUCUCAGGCUGGCAGGAGGCAGAGAGGGCGGGGGAGUGACUCUGGGUCCGUGUGCAGGUGGCACCGGGCGCGGAGGCGCACACGGCAGCCUGCGCUCGUUGAAAAGGCCGAAGAGGCAGAAACGGGGUUUAACUCACUGAAAGAACAUCGUUUCCCAGCGAGAGGGACGAGAGCAGGACAGGUCAACGCUGUGACGAAGAGCAUCAGGACUGAGGGCCAGCGGGCUGGUGACAGCAGGACCUGCUGGGCCCCGUGAGCAAGCCACCGCCACGCGGACUCCCCAAGUGCUCACCACCAGCCGGGAACGCAACAAGGCCAAACCGCGCAGGGGAGUGGGAGCAGGGGCCCGGCAGCAGCUCAGCACUGGAGACAAGGCUCAGCUCCAAGCCAGGGUGCCCUGCACCCCACACCAAAGCACCCCUGCUCUACGGGGAGCCAGAGCACAGGGUCCCAGAACAGUUCAGUAUGAAGGUUAUCUGCUGGCCCUGUGAUGUUCACUAAUUAAAAAGUCACACAGAAAGUAAAAACAGAGAAAUAAAAACCCCAGGAUCUCGCUCUCUGGGGUCAGCCACCAUUUAGCACC